CGAGCGACAGUUAGGAAUACGGCCUAUGGCAAGCCUUGUGGAGUAAUAGACAGUACUUUUAAUUUUUUAUGCCCAUCGUAGUUUCUAUAGCUAAGUGCGUCAUAAACGCGAUAUUUUCCGAAGUUGUAUUUUUAAUUUUGUGGAUUAUAAUGAUGCUAUCGGUCGAGCGUCACCUGGACGAAGUACCGCGUCUCUAGUACGAAUCGAACAUCGAAGCGUCACGCUCCUCCACGUAUCGCUUACACACUUCCCUCUAAGAAUCCUUUGCGUUUCGAGCGCACGGAAGGUCAGUGAAUGCGAAGAGAAGGGUCUCGCACAAUCUCCCUUCUACGGUAACAUCUCCACCAGACGUUGAGCAAAGAAUUGUUUCCAUCUUUCAGCUUUUGGAGAAAGCAGUCCAUCUGCAUUUCCUGACUCAUCAACAUCUUUAAGCGUUCGUGGAGACAGAAUGAAGUCGCAACGACUAGUUAACAAUUCUUCUAAUUGUCCUUCUCGUCUCAUCAACAUCUUCAAACGUUUGUCACG
rnacentral:misc_RNA from 1 species